AGAGUUUGAUCAUGGCUCAGAACGUACGCUGGCGGCACGCCUAACACAUGCAAGUCGAACGCAGUAGCAAUACUGAGUGGCGAACGGGUGAGUAUAAUGUGGGUAUCUGCCUUUUGGUUUGGAAUAACACGGGGAAACUUGUGCUAAUACCGGAUAAGCCUUUACAGGGAAAGUUUUAACGCCAAAAGAUGAGCCCAUACUUGAUUAGCUAGUUGGUAAGGUAAUGGCUUACCAAGGCAACGAUCAAUAGCUGAUCUGAGAGGAUGAUCAGCCACAUUGGGACUGAGACACGGCCCAAACUCCUACGGGAGGCAGCAGUGGGGAAUCUUGCACAAUGGGGGAAACCCUGAUGCAGCGAUGCCGCGUGAGUGGAAGAAGGCCUUUGGGUUGUAAAGCUCUUUCGUCGGGGAAGAAAAUGACUGUACCCGAAUAAGAAGGUCCGGCUAACUUCGUGCCAGCCGCCGCGGUAA
rnacentral:rRNA from 1 species